CAGUCGCCACGGUAAUACGAAGGGGGCUAGCGUUGCUCGGAAUGACUGGGCGUAAAGGGCGCGUAGGCGGCGAUCAAAGUCAGGCGUGAAAUUCCUGGGCUCAACCUGGGGGCUGCGUUUGAUACUUGAUUGCUAGAGUGGGGAAGAGGGUCGUGGAAUUCCCAGUGUAGAGGUGUAAUUCGUAGAUAUUGGGAAGAACACCGGUGGCGAAGGCGGCGACCUGGUCCUUGACUGACGCUGAGGCGCGAAAGCGUGGGGAGCAAACAGGAUUAGAUACCCGGGUAGUCCCUGUCUCUUAUAC
rnacentral:rRNA from 1 species